UACGUAGGUGGCAAGCGUUAUCCGGAUUUAUUGGGCGUAAAGGGAGCGCAGGCGGUGCGCCAAGUCUGAUGUGAAACCCCGGGGCUCAACCCCGGGCAUGCAUUGGAAACUGGCGGGCUGGAGUGCCGGAGAGGUAAGCGGAAUUCCUAGUGUAGCGGUGAAAUGCGUAGAUAUUAGGAGGAACACCAGUGGCGAAGGCGGCUUACUGGACGGCAACUGACGCUGAGGCUCGAAAGCGUGGGGAGCAAACAGG
rnacentral:rRNA from 1 species